CCUGGCUCAGAACGAACGCUGGCGGCGUGGAUAAGACAUGCAAGUCGAACGAGACCUUCCCAGUAGCAAUACCAGGUCGGUCUAGUGGCGCACGGGUGAGUAACACGUGAGCAACCUGCCCUGAAGUGGGGGAUAGCUCGCCGAAAGGCGAAUUAAUACCGCAUGUGGUGGCAACACCAAAGCAGCAAUGCGCUUCAGGAUGGGCUCGCGGCCUAUCAGCUUGUUGGUGAGGUAACGGCUCACCAAGGCAGUGACGGGUAACUGGUUUGAGAGGAUGAUCAGUCACACUGGAACUGAGACACGGUCCAGACACCUACGGGUGGCAGCAGUCGAGAAUCAUUCGCAAUGGGGGAAACCCUGACGAUGCGACGCCGCGUGGAGGAUGACGGCCCUCGGGUUGUAAACUCCUGUCAUGAGGGAGCAAAUCCCGCUUUCGCGGGACUGAUAGUACCUCAAGAGGAAGGAACGGCAAACUCUGUGCCAGCAGCCGCGGUAAUACAGAGGUUCCAAGCGUUGUUCGGAUUCAUUGGGCGUAAAGGGUGCGUAGGCGGCUUGGUAAGUCAAAUGUGAAAUUGCGGGGCUCAACCCCGUACGGCAUUCGAUACUGCCAUGCUAGAGGACUGGAGAGGAGACUGGAAUUCACGGUGUAGCAGUGAAAUGCGUAGAGAUCGGGAGGAAUACCUAUUGCGAAGGCGACCUGCUGGAACACAACUGACGCUGAGGCGCGAAAGCGUGGGUAGCAAACAGGAUUAGAUACCCUGGUAGUCCACGCCCUAAACGAUGGAUGCUAGUUGCUGUGGCGCUCGUCGUUGCAGUAAUACAGCUAACGCAUUAAGCAUCCCGCCUGGGGAGUACGGUCGCAAGAUUAAAACUCAAAGGAAUAGACGGGGACCCGCACAAGCGGUGGAGCAUGUGGUGUAAUUCGAAGAUACGCGAAGAACCUUACCCGGGCUUGACAUCCUUGGAACCCGCUGGAAACAGUGGGGUGCUAGCUUGCUAGAGCCAAGUGACAGGUGCUGCACGGCCGUCGUCAGCUCGUGUCGUGAGAUGUUGGGUUAAGUCCCGCAACGAGCGCAACCCUCGUCCUUAGUUGCUAACGGGUUAUGCCGAGAACUCUAAGGAGACUGCCCUCGCAAGGGGGAGGAAGGUGAGGAUGACGUCAGGUCAUCAUGGCCCUUACGCCCGGGGCAACACACGUGCUACAAUGGGUAGGACAAAGAGACGCAAGACCGCGAGGUGGAGCAAAUCUUUAAACCUACUCUCAGUUCGGAUUGCUCUCUGCAACUCGAGAGCAUGAAGCCGGAAUCGCUAGUAAUCGUAGAUCAGCUAUGCUACGGUGAUACGUUCCCGGGUCUUG
rnacentral:rRNA from 1 species